rnacentral:snRNA from 1 species
UUCUCACAUACACACCUAUCAAA